rnacentral:rRNA from 1 species
GACGAACGCUGGCGGCGUGCUUAACACAUGCAAGUCGAACGGAAAGGCCUGCCUUCCCUUGUGGAUUGCGGGUACUCGAGUGGCGAACGGGUGAGUAACACGUGAGUGAUCUGCCCCCAACUUGGGUAUAAGCCUGGGAAACUGGGUCUAAUUCCCGAUAGGACUGCAGGGUGGUGCCUGUGGUGGAAAACGAUUUUCUAGUGGUUGGGGAUGAGCUCGCGGCCUAUCAGCUUGUUGGUGGGGUAAUGGCCUACCAAGGCGGCGACGGGUAGCCGGCCUGGGAGGGUGGACGGGCACAUUGGGACUGGGAUACGGCCCAGACUCAUACGGGAGGCAGCAGUGGGGAAUAUUGCACGAUGGGCGGAAGGCUGAUGCAGCGACGCCGCGUGGGGGAUGACGGCCUUCGGGUUGUAAACUCCUUUCGACCGCGAGGAAGCCACCUGGUUGGAAGGGAGUGACGGUAGUGGUAGAAGAAGCACCGGCUAACUACGUG